UGAAUGCCUAGGAGAUUUUGGCCGAGGAAGGACGCAUAUGGCGGCGAUACUCAUCGGGUAGGUGCCAUAAACCUAUGAUCCGGUGGUGUCCGAAUGGGGGAACCCCUCGCAUUUUGCGAGAACCUAACAUAAAGUUAUAUCAGUAAUGGUAUAUAUAGUGUUAGGUGGGGAACGGUGUGAACUGAAACAUCUUAGUAGCACCAGGAAAAGAAAUCAUAUGAGAUUCCGUAAGUAGCGGCGAGCGAAAGCGGAGCAGUCUAAACCCGAAUUUAUUCGGGGGUUGCAGGGCAGACGAUAUUCGAUGCAGUUUUUUCUAGUAGAAGGACUUGGAAUAGUCCCCCAUAGAAAGUGAAAGGCUUGUAAACGAAAGAAAAGACUCCGAUAGUUUGUACCUAAGUACCAUGGAGCACGAUAAAACUCUGUGGGAAUCUGGGGCGGCCACGUUCCAAGACUAAACACCAGAAUCUACCGAUAGUGAACUAGUACCGUGAGGGAAAGGUGAAAAGCACCCCGGGAGGGGAAUGAAAUAGACCUGAAAUUGUCGGCUGACAAGCAGCGAGAGUCCCGAUUUAUCGGGAUAAUCGCGUGCCUAUUGAAGAAUGAACCGGUGAGUUAUUGAUUGCAGCGUUGGUCUAAGUUACGUAACGUAACGGAGACAUAGUGAAAGCGUGACCUAAUUGGUCGUUAGUUGCAGUCAGUAGACCCGAAACUGGGUGAGCUAUCCUUGAGCAGGGUGAGUCCCGAUGAGAAUCGGGAGGAGGCCCGAACCCGUAUCCGUAGCAAUGGGUUGGGAUGACUUGAGGUUAGGGGCAAUAUGCCAAACGAACCCAGAGAUAGCUGGUUCUCCCCGAAAUAUAUUUUGGUAUAGCGGGAUACGUAUAGAGCUUUGGAGGUAGAGCACUGAAUGGUUCACGGCGGCGCAAGCUGUCGUAACCAAUCAAACUCCGAAUGCCAGAGCUUGUUGUAUUCUAGUCAGACUCGUCGGGCUAAGCUGAUGGGUCAAAAGGGAAACAGCCCAGACUACCAACUAAGGCCUCUAAAUAAAAACUAAGUUUAGAAGGAAGUCAAGUUCCAGAGACAACCAGGAGGUUGGCUUAGAAGCAGCCAUCCUUUAAAGAUAGCGUAACAGCUCACUGGAGGAUCGGUACUUGGCGCCGAAAAUUUACCGAGGAUUAAGUUUUUUGCCGAAGUUGUAGAAUGCGCGUAAGCGUUUUGGUAGGGGAGCGUUCUGUUUGCAGUGAAGCUGUGCUGUAAGGCGUGGUGGAGCGGACAGAAGUGAGAAUGCCGGUAUGAGUAGCGAGAGUCCUGUGAGAAACAGGACCGCCGAAUGCCCAAGGUUUCCUCCGCAAUGUAAGUCAGCGGAGGGUUAGUCGGCCCUAAGGGUGGCCCUUAAUUAAAGGGGGAUAGCCCGAUGGACAAGUCGUUGAAAUUCGACUACAGAAUAUGAAUAUUCUGAGGGGGUAACGAAGUUGGAAGAUCAUAUCCUGCCGCAAGGUGGGACCAAGCAGCUAGGUAGGAGUAAGCGGCAAAUCCCUUAUUCUGUUUCCCCGAUUUAAUCGGGGUUUAAUCGAGCUGUGAGUGAAAGUUUCCUAGUAGUAGGGAACAAGAGUGUAAAUUUCAGUUUCCAAGAAACGCCUCACUGGUCCGCCGUAAGGUGGAAAAAUUCAUAUUUUACCGUACCAAUUACCGACACAGGUGGGCUGGUCGAGUAGACUAAGGCGAUCGGGAGAAAGAUGUUCAAGGAACUCGGCAAUAAAUCUAGGCGUAACCUUUGGGAGAUGCCUUACCGCGUGUAAGAACGCGGCUACAACAAAAGAUUACUUAGCGACUGUUUAUCUAAAACACAGGUCCCUGCAAAGCCGAAAGGCAACGUAUAGGGGCUGACACCUGCCCAGUGCUGGUAAGUCAAGUAUCUCUAGUGAGACAGCAAUGUUCAGCUUAGGAUACAAGCUCCAGUAAACGGCAGCAGUAACUAUAAGAAAUUGUAGUUGUAAAAUUUAGCUAUAUGCUGGAAAAUCUGUACCGCAAACGGUUGAAGUAUCUGACGCUACUAUGUUAAAAUUAAUAUAGUGAAAAUGCGAUCAGUGCAGACAAUCAGCAGGAAAGACCUUGAUCGGAAAAAUUUAGGCUAUUUUAUAGCAGGAUUUGUUGAAGGAGAGGGAAGCUUUAAUGUAUCGCUUCGUAAAAAAAGCGACUAUAAAGUUAAUUGGCAAGUCGUCUUAAGUUUUAAUGUUUCACAAAAAGAUCCAUCUAUUCUUUAUAUCAUUAAAAAAGAAUUAGAAUGUGGAAUUAUUAAGACUAGGAAAGAUGGUUUGCGCUCUCUGGACACAACAAAUGCUCAAGAAAUAGUUGAAAAAGUUAUUCCAUAUUUUUCUAAAUACCCUUUAUUAUCUAAAAGUAAAAUUUAUAACUUUAAUAUUUUUUGCAAAAUUUCAAAACUUGUACAAAGUGGAGAACACAAAAAUAUUAAUGGUUUAAAAAAGAUUUCUCUCUUAAGAGAAAAAUUAAAUAAAGGUAAGGGGCGAACAAGAAAAUAUGAGUAUAAAGAUAUAUUUCCGGUUAAGGAAUCCUCAGAGACUAUACGCUAAACUCGUUUUACAAAACGAUGAUGAUAUAGUCCGACCUCAUGGGCGACCAUGAGACUCUGUAGCCAAUCAGAGCACGUAACAAAAGUGAACUGUUCUAUGGUAACUAACUUCGUUGCCUUAGAAAUCGUGUUUUAGAAAUCCGACUAUAUGCUGGAAAAACUCAUGUAUCCGACAAUACUAGAAAUAGUGAAAAUUUGAUCGGUGGAGUCAAUCAGCAGGAAAGACUCCGAUGUAUCAUCGGAGAAUCCCCAGAGACUAUACGUCGGAGUCCCAAUUGAAUCGGGACAAGAUAUAGUCCGAACUCUAUAGCGAUAUAGAGAGUUUAGGUAAUAAUUUAUCUAAGAUUAACAAUAAUGAGCGAAGUUCCUUGUCGGGCGAGUUCCGACCCGCACGAAUGGUAGAACGACUAAGUAACUGUCUUGAACAUCUACCCGGCGAAAUUGAGAUGGCUGUGAAGACGCGGCCUAAUUAUGCAUGGACAAAAAGACCCCGGGAGCUUUACUGUAGCUUGGCAUUUGAAAGUUUAUUUUAAUUGUUUAGAAUAGGAGGGAGCUUAGGCGAAAUAUGAAAUACCUCUCUUUGAAAUAAGUGAUCAUUACUUUUAGCCACAUAAAAAUCUGGCAGAAGGACAGUGUCUGGUGGGCAGUUUAACUGGGGAAGUUGACUCCUAAAGAGUAACGGAGUCGUACAAAGGUUGGCUAGUCUUGGAUGGAAAUCAAGAUAAUAGUGCAAACGCAUAAGCCAGCUUGACUGCGAGACCUACAAGUCGAGCAGGGACGAAAGUCGGUGUUAGUGAUCCUGUAAUGCCUAGUGGUAGGCAUACAGCUUAACGGAUAAAAGCUACCCCGGGGAUACAUUACUGUGUCCCGAUUCUGUGGUAACAUAGAAUCAAGUAUACGGCUAAUAACGGUGAAGCCCUCUUGUCUGGUGGUUACAAGUCUUUCCACUACGAGGAGGCAAAGGGUAAUACCGUGGGAAGUCGGAGGAAUAAAUGACACGAAAACAGAAAGAUAUCGUAAUAGGAAUGAUUUUAGGCGAUGCUUAUUUGCAAAAAACAGGUAAGCAAAACGCAAGAUUACGACUUGAACAAGGAAUUUCUCAGAGAAAUUAUCUUGAAUGGAAAGUAGAACAAUUACAGAACUAUUUUCAAAGCAAGAUAAAAGUUCUUGAACGAAAUAAUCCUAUUUGGAAUAAAACAUAUCAAUAUGUUCGAAUCCAAUCGACAGCAAGUCCUGAUUUUGGAAAAUUGCAAAACAUUUUUUACAACAAUUCGCAAAAGAUUAUUCCAAAAACUAUAACAACAAUCUUUAAAAACCCUCUUUCUUUAGCUGUUUGGUUUAUGGAUGAUGGAUAUUAUUAUCAAAGAGAUAAAAUAGCUUAUCUUUAUAUUCCAAAUUUUGAUAAAGAAAGUAUGAAGUAUUUACUAGAAACGUUGAAACACAAUUUCAGCCUUCUGCCGAUACUUAAAAAGAAAAAAAGGGGAUCUGUUCUAAUCUUUAGUGUCAUAGAAACGCAAAAAUUGAUAAGCUUAAUAGGGAAACAUAUUAUUCUAUCAAUGCGUUAUAAAUUACCUCUUGACCCCGUAUCGACUGAUCGAAAGUCGCACAACGCGACAAGUAGUGAGAUAGUUAUUUAACUAUCACACGCCGUACCCCUGAAGUAAAAAAUUUCACACUUUAGGGUGAAGAUAUAGUCAGUGCAGCAAGAAAUUGCUGAUAGGAUGUAGAAAUACAUUUCAUGAACAGGCUGAUCGCAUCCAAGCGUCCACAGCGACGAUGCGGUUUGGCACCUCGAUGUCGGCUCAUCGCAUCCUGGGGGUGGAGAAGCUCCCAAGGGUUGGGCUGUUCGCCCAUUAAAGCGGUACGCGAGCUGGGUUCAGAACGUCGUAAGACAGUUCGGUCUCUAUCCUGCAUAAUCGUUGAGAUUUGAGGGAAUUUGUCCCUAGUACGAGAGGACUGGGAUGAGGGAAUCCCUGGUGUGUCAGUUGUUUCUUUAAAAGAGCAACGCUGAGUAGCUAUAUUCCCAACCGAUAACCGCUGAAAGCAUCUAAGUGGGAAGCGGUCCCCAAGAUAAGAUCUC
rnacentral:rRNA from 1 species